AGAGUUUGAUCCUGGCUCAGAUUGAACGCUGGCGGCAUGCCUUACACAUGCAAGUCGAACGGCAGCACGGACUUCGGUCUGGUGGCGAGUGGCGAACGGGUGAGUAAUGUAUCGGAACGUACCUUUCAGUGGGGGAUAACGUAGCGAAAGUUACGCUAAUACCGCAUAUUCUGUGAGCAGGAAAGCAGGGGAUCGCAAGACCUUGCGCUGAUUGAGCGGCCGAUAUCAGAUUAGCUAGUUGGUGGGGUAAAGGCCUACCAAGGCUACGAUCUGUAGCGGGUCUGAGAGGAUAAUCCGCCACACUGGAACUGAGACACGGUCCAGACUCCUACGGGAGGCAGCAGUGGGGAAUUUUGGACAAUGGGGGCAACCCUGAUCCAGCCAUGCCGCGUGAGUGAAGAAGGCCUUCGGGUUGUAAAGCUCUUUCGGCCGGGAAGAAAUCGCAUAGGUUAAUACCCUGUGUGGAUGACGGUACCGGAAUAAGAAGCACCGGCUAACUACGUGCCAGCAGCCGCGGUAAUACGUAGGGUGCGAGCGUUAAUCGGAAUUACUGGGCGUAAAGCGUGCGCAGGCGGUUUCGUAAGACAGAGGUGAAAUCCCCGGGCUCAACCUGGGAACUGCCUUUGUGACUGCGAAGCUAGAGUACGGCAGAGGGGGGUGGAAUUCCACGUGUAGCAGUGAAAUGCGUAGAGAUGUGGAGGAACACCGAUGGCGAAGGCAGCCCCCUGGGCCGAUACUGACGCUCAUGCACGAAAGCGUGGGUAGCAAACAGGAUUAGAUACCCUGGUAGUCCACGCCCUAAACGAUGUCAACUAGGUGUUGGGUGGGUAAAACCAUUUAGUACCGUAGCUAACGCGUGAAGUUGACCGCCUGGGGAGUACGGCCGCAAGGUUAAAACUCAAAGGAAUUGACGGGGACCCGCACAAGCGGUGGAUGAUGUGGAUUAAUUCGAUGCAACGCGAAAAACCUUACCUACCCUUGACAUGUUCAGAAUCCCGGAGAGAUUUGGGAGUGCCCGAAAGGGAGCUGGAACACAGGUGCUGCAUGGCUGUCGUCAGCUCGUGUCGUGAGAUGUUGGGUUAAGUCCCGCAACGAGCGCAACCCUUGUCGUUAAUUGCCAUCAUUUAGUUGGGCACUUUAACGAGACUGCCGGUGACAAACCGGAGGAAGGUGGGGAUGACGUCAAGUCCUCAUGGCCCUUAUGGGUAGGGCUUCACACGUCAUACAAUGGUCGGUACAGAGGGUUGCCAAGCCGCGAGGUGGAGCCAAUCCCAGAAAGCCGAUCGUAGUCCGGAUUGCAGGCUGCAACUCGCCUGCAUGAAGUCGGAAUCGCUAGUAAUCGCGGAUCAGCAUGUCGCGGUGAAUACGUUCCCGGGUCUUGUACACACCGCCCGUCACACCAUGGGAGCGGGUUCCGCCAGAAGUAGGUAGCCUAACCGCAAGGAGGGCGCUUACCACGGCGGGGUUCGUGACUGGGGUGAAGUCGUAACAAGGUAACC
rnacentral:rRNA from 1 species